UUGACCUCAAAUCAGGUAGGACUACCCGCUGAACUUAAGCAUAUCAAUAAGCGGAGGAAAAGAAACUAACAAGGAUUCCCCUAGUAACUGCGAGUGAAGCGGGAAAAGCUCAAAUUUAAAAUCUGGCAGUCUUUGGCUGUCCGAGUUGUAAUCUAGAGAAGUGUUGCCCACGCUGGACCGUGUAUAAGUCUUCUGGAAUGAAGCGUCAUAGAGGGUGAGAAUCCCGUCUUUGACAUGGACUCCCAGUGUAUUGUGGCGUGCUCUCAAAGAGUCGAGUUGUUUGGGAAUGCAGCUCUAAAUGGGUGGUAACCUCCAUCUAAAGCUAAAUAUUGGCAAGAGACCGAUAGCGAC
rnacentral:rRNA from 1 species